GGUGGACGGUACAGUCAUAGAGAGGGUCCAUAAGUAUAGAUAUCUGGGGACGUGGGUAGAGGAAAGUGGGGAUUCGACGGGAGAGAUAAGAAAAAGGAUUGAGAUGGCCAGAUCGACAUUUGUAAAAAUGAAAAAAUUGUUCACGAGCCGGGACAUAAAUAUAGAAUUGAAAAUGAGGAUGUUACGCUGUUACGUGUUUUCCACUCUCUUGUAUGGGAUGGAAUCAUGGACCCUCAAAAAGAGCCAUAUGGAUAAGUUGGAAGCCUUUGAGAUGUGGUGCUACCGCAGGAUGUGGCGGAUUCCAUGGACGGAUAGAGUCACCAACAUGGAAGUCCUAGGGAAAAUGAAGAAACAAUGUGAAAUUGUUUACACCAUAAAAAAGAGAAAACUCCUGUAUCUUGGACAUCUUAUGAGAAGCCACAAAUAUAUAACUCUCCAGAAUAUAGUCCAAGGAAAAAUCAGCGGAAAAGGAGUGUUGGAAGGCGACGUGUUUCCUGGCUUAAAAUUUUGAGGGAUUGGUUUGACUGCAGCAGCAAAGACUUGUUUCGAGCGGCAGUGAAUAAGAUCCGGAUUGCUGUGCUGAUAGCGAACCUCCGAUAGGAGACGCACUAGAAGAAGAAGAAGAAGAAGAAGAAGAAGAAGAAGAAGAAGAAGAAGAAGAAGAAGAAGAAGAAGAA